GGGGCUGGAGCUCAGUGGUAGAGCGUUCGCCUGGCAAGCGUGAAGCACUGGGUUCAAUCCUCAGCAUCA
rnacentral:tRNA from 1 species